rnacentral:ncRNA from 2 species
UGAUAACGACAGGGGAGCGCCGCCGUCGGGCUGCAGGAGCAGAACGAAGGAAGGGCGCUGAGAGUGCGGAACACCGCAGACCCUCGAACCUGAUCCGGUUAGUACCGGCGCAAGGGAGUCGAGUUCUCAGAGUG